rnacentral:sRNA from 1 species
CAGUCAUCCAGCCUCGCCGACCGGUGAGCGC